UAAGUAAAAAUUGCAAUGUUAUUCUUGUAAGUUUAACUACUCAACACAUGCUAGUUGUUUUAGAUUUGAAGAUAAAAAGUGAAGUGAAGAAGGGAAAAAAAAAGAACCAAAUAGCUUUUAAGGAGAAGUUAUUGAUAGAAGGGAUAUGGAAUUUAGACAAUAAAGUUGACACUGCAUGGAAGGGAAUGACGAGAUGCUUUAAGAAAGUAGCAAUAGAUAUACUACUAGGUGUAUCUAAAGGUAGAGGACUACGCUCACAAUAGUCUUAGUGGUGGAGUGAGAAGAUACAAAAGGCUAUUAAGAUAAAAAUGAAAAUGGUAUAGAAAGUUAUCGACAACAAAAGAUUUGAGAAAUACAAGUCGGCAAGGAGAGAAGCUAUGAAAGCUGCUAGCGAUGGUUGUGGUAAAUCUCUACCUUAUUUAUAGCAUAAGUUGUGGACAAGCGAGGGGGAGAAGAAGAUGUACAAACUGGCACAGCUGAAGAAAAAGAGGGAUAAAUGAAGAAAAUGGCUGCAUUUGCCAAAGAGUGUAUGUAGAACAUAUUGGGGAUAAAAUGAAAAAGAUUUUAUUAAGAUGGUUUGUCGUAUCCAGGAUAAAUUUUAACAACCGUCCUUGAA
rnacentral:misc_RNA from 1 species